rnacentral:rRNA from 1 species
UACACACCGCCCGUCACGCCAUGGAAGCUGGAGGGACCCGAAGCCGGUGUGCCAACCGCAGGAGCAACCGUCUAAGGUCAAUUCAGUGACUGGGGCG